GACGAACGCUGGCGGCGUGCUUAACACAUGCAAGUCGAACGGAAAGGCCCUGCUUGCAGGGUACUCGAGUGGCGAACGGGUGAGUAACACGUGGGUGAUCUGCCCUGCACUUCGGGAUAAGCUUGGGAAACUGGGUCUAAUACCGGAUAGGAACCAUCUUUAGUGUGGUGGUUGGAAAGUUUUUUCGGUGUAGGAUGAGCUCGCGGCCUAUCAGCUUGUUGGUGGGGUAAUGGCCUACCAAGGCGGCGACGGGUAGCCGGCCUGAGAGGGUGUACGGCCACGUUGGGACUGAGAUACGGCCCAGACUCCUACGGGAGGCAGCAGUGGGGAAUAUUGCACAAUGGGCGCAAGCCUGAUGCAGCGACGCCGCGUGGGGGAUGAAGGCCUUCGGGUUGUAAACUCCUUUCGCUAGGGACGAAGCUUUUUGUGACGGUACCUAGAUAAGAAGCACCGGCUAACUACGUG
rnacentral:rRNA from 1 species